rnacentral:lncRNA from 1 species
CCGUCCAUUUUUUCUGUCUAAAGAACAACUGGUUUUUAUAUAUCAAAGUAUCAACGUUGCAUAAAUUCUCAAUUUUUACGUUUAGAUUCUCAAGGGCAUCAUUUGGUAUAUCGAUCACUUCUUAUAUUUUGAGACGGAUUCGAAGACACGGAUUCGAAGAGUGUACCAUCCUUUCUUGCAUACUGUGACGACCUUCCCUCCUUGUGUGAUGAACACCUUCUUCAUUUUCUUAGUUUUUUGCUUAACCUGCUCCGUCAGUUCUGCCAUCUAAUUCAAAACAAGUAUUGAAUGAGAUCGACGGGAAAGUAGGCAAUAUUUUUUUACCAAAAUAUAUGAUAUUAAUCGCAGCUUUUUUAGAACAUAUAUAGCUUGCUACUUGCCACCUUAACCUUUCUAAAUUAGCAAACCGAGUUUUCUUAAAAUAGUUGACAUGGGAAAUUAGUUGAUGCCCUGGAUAGUUGGGUUGUUUUUUUUGGUUGACUACGUUUUUUAUAUGCCAGAAAGUUUAAUGGGAGCGGAGGCUACUACAUCCCAAGACCAGGCAUACCACAAUCUUUUUUUAGGACUUACAACGGGUUUUGUGUCCCCUUUGUUGCUUUUUCAGAUCGCCUACCAACACAAGAUUGCUGGCAGCCGAAUGCGAACCUUAGUGGGCAACACACAAGGCUGGGACCUUACUAACUAAACCAAUAUGUGUUGACUUUGGUUGACUACUUUGCAUAAGUGUCAUUGCUUCAAAACGCUAAUAUAAGUUAUAACUAAAACGGUAUUAAAAAAAAAAGUUAAAAAGUGUUUCUGUAACGAAACUUAUGUGUGUUCUCUUGCUUUUGAAAUGGUAGGCCAAAAGAGGAAAAGUAAAAAUGUUAGGAUACUUCUUUAGUCUAAACAGCAACAAAAAAUAAGAUCAAUAAUGCAGAAAUACAACAUUUCCAUGUGUAACACAGAACAUUUUGACAAGGAUUGUCAGCAGCAUUAUUGCUGACUUAUGCUUCGUUCAAUCAAUUUCUAUCUCCCAACGUUGACGUUUUAAAAUCCAUUAACGAUAAAUUUUUAUAUGCAUCAGCAACUUAGAUAGACCGGACAUACUUUUACAGUAACACCUCAAUCUAAUAACACAAUAGUAUGUGCAAUAUCAUUUCACAUUAUAUUGUGUUAUCAAACCGGCACGCCACUAUAGUUGUGUACGACUUCAUCUAACUCCUCCUCAUAUGUUACAAACUUUUAUGGUACAUAUUGUCAGAUGACAAUAAUAUUUGGGGUGUGAUAUCUACACACCUUCUUUUAUUUCUCUCAUACCUCUUGUUAAUUUCUGUUAUUUGAUCUUUUUUAAUUCACUAGAUCUGACAGCUGCAAAUUAAGCACACCCCGUAGUAUUUUAUGUAUCAUUCAAGAGCCAUGGUUUCAAACACACCCCAUAAAAUUGGUAGACGCCGAAAACUUUGAGGUUCCAAAAUGAAGAUGUGAAUAGAAUGCUGGAUAAAUUAUAAAUGUAUACUGCAACUGCAACCUCACUCAUUAUAAAUUAAUCAGAGAUAGAUACUGAACAAUGAAAUGAUGGGAGGUUUUCGAUCCUACGACCAUCUACAAACUAAGAUUCUAAAAUCAUGUUACACGAAUUAUUGCACCUUAAAAGUACAAGUUGUUAUGGAAUAAGCCAAUUGAAAAGGAAGACGGCAUACGCGAAUCUGGUUUCUUGUCCUCCAAGCUAUAUCUUGAGGUUGGUUCGGACUCGGUACCACCCUUUUUUCCAGACGCCAACAACCUUCCAUCCUUGUUGCUCGAAGAAGGACCGAAGAUCUCGACUCCUUUCCCUCAUUUGUUUACGUCGUUCUUCCG